GACGAACGCUGGCGGCGUGCUUAACACAUGCAAGUCGAACGGACAGGCCCGGCUUUUGUGGGUUUCUCGAUUGGCGAGCGGGUGAGUAACACGUGUGUAUCCUGCCCUUGACUUUGGGAUAACUUCAGGAAACUGCGGCGAAUACCGCAGAGAAGCUCCUGCUGCAUGGGGGUGGUUGGAAAGUUUCGGCGGUUGGGGAUGUACUCGCGGCUUAUCAGCUGGUUUGUGGAGUAGUGGCUUACCAAGGCUUUGAAGGGUAGCCGGCCUGAGAGGGGUGACGGCCACAUGGGGACUGCGAUACGGAGCAGAAUCCUAUGGGAGGCAGCAGUGGAGAAUAUUGCACAAUGGGCGGAAGCCUGAUGCAGCAACGCUGCGUGCGGGAUGACGGCUUUCGGGUUGUAAACCGCUUACGCCUGUGACGAAGCGUGAGUGACGGUAAUGGGUAAAGAAGCACCGGCUAACUACGUG
rnacentral:rRNA from 1 species